rnacentral:rRNA from 1 species
AGCCACAGCCAUAUCACCCUGUCGCCCAAGACCACUGAAGCUAAGCAGGGCUGAGCAUGGUCAGUACCUGAAUGGGAGACCACAUGGGAAAACUUGGUUACUGUUGGAA